GGGAUGACGGUUUAACAAAUAUGUUUUUUUUAUGUUUAGAGAUAUAAAAAUUGAAUUGAAGAUUAAAAUUUUUUCAUAUAUUUAAGGGACGAUAAGACCCUAAAAGUUUUAUUUGUGUUAUUUUGGAUAUAGUUAAACUAAGAUGUUGAUAUAUUAUAAAUUUGGCUGGGGUAGUAAUUUGUUAAAAAUAUUAGUUGUUUAUUAACAUUUAAAUUUGGUUUUUGAUCCUGUUAAUUUGGGUUUGUUGUAAUAGUUACUUUAGGGCUAACAGGGUAAUAUUUUUGGAGAGAUCUUAUCGAUAAAUUUGAUUACUACCUCGAUGUUGAAUUAAAAUAUCUUUAUUAAGUAGAAAUAAUAAUUUGAAGGUUUGUUCAACCUUUAAUUUUUUACAUGAUUU
rnacentral:rRNA from 1 species